GUGGGGAAUAUUGGACAAUGGGCGAAAGCCUGAUCCAGCCAUGCCGCGUGUGUGAAGAAGGUCUUCGGAUUGUAAAGCACUUUAAGUUGGGAGGAAGGGCAGUAAGUUAAUACCUUGCUGUUUUGACGUUACCGACAGAAUAAGCACCGGCUAACUUCGUGCCAGCAGCCGCGGUAAUACGAAGGGUGCAAGCGUUAAUCGGAAUUACUGGGCGUAAAGCGCGCGUAGGUGGUUUUGUAAGUUGGAGGUGAAAUCCCCGGGCUCAACCUGGGAACUGCCUCCAAAACUGCAUGACUAGAGUACGGUAGAGGGUAGUGGAAUUUCCUGUGUAGCGGUGAAAUGCGUAGAUAUAGGAAGGAACACCAGUGGCGAAGGCGACUACCUGGACUGAUACUGACACUGAGGUGCGAAAGCGUGGGGAGCAAACAGGAUUAGAAACCCGGGUAUCC
rnacentral:rRNA from 1 species